GAUGAACGCUGGCGGCGUGCCUAAUACAUGCAAGUCGAGCGAACAGACGAGGAGCUUGCUCCUCUGACGUUAGCGGCGGACGGGUGAGUAACACGUGGAUAACCUACCUAUAAGACUGGGAUAACUUCGGGAAACCGGAGCUAAUACCGGAUAAUAUAUUGAACCGCAUGGUUCAAUAGUGAAAGACGGUUUUGCUGUCACUUAUAGAUGGAUCCGCGCCGCAUUAGCUAGUUGGUAAGGUAACGGCUUACCAAGGCAACGAUGCGUAGCCGACCUGAGAGGGUGAUCGGCCACACUAGAACUGAGACACGGUCCAGACUCCUACGGGAGGCAGCAGUAGGGAAUCUGCCGCAAUGGGCGAAAGCUUGACGGAGCAACGCCGCGUGAGUGAUGAAGGUCUUCGGAUCGUAAAACUCUGUUAUUAGGGAAGAACAAAUGUGUAAGUAACUAUGCACGUCUUGACGGUACCUAAUCAGAAAGCCACGGCUAACUACGUG
rnacentral:rRNA from 1 species